GGUCCCUGCCCUCUAGAAGCUCACAGUCUAGUUGCGUUUAUGUGCAAGUCUUUUACCCCCAGCUAGAUUGUAAGCUCCUUGAGGGCAGUCACC
rnacentral:pre_miRNA from 12 species